UAGUCACACUAGGGGAGCCGCCCAUGCGGCUGAGACGAAAUAAAUGGAUUUCGGACCCUUUGUACCUGAUCUGGGUUAUGCCAGCGUAGGGAAGUGAGUACUGUACAAA
rfam:Paenibacillus polymyxa SC2, complete genome.